UAAGCGACUAAGCGUACACGGUGGAUGCCCUGGCAGUCAGAGGCGAUGAAGGACGUGCUAAUCUGCGAUAAGCGUCGGUAAGGUGAUAUGAACCGUUAUAACCGGCGAUUUCCGAAUGGGGAAACCUAGUGUGUUUCGACACACUAUCAUUAACUGAAUCCAUAGGUUAAUGAGGCGAACCGGGGGAACUGAAACAUCUAAGUACCCCGAGGAAAAGAAAUCAACCGAGAUUCCCCCAGUAGCGGCGAGCGAACGGGGAGCAGCCCAGAGCCUGAAUCAGUGUGUGUGUUAGUGGAAGCGUCUGGAAAGGCGCGCGAUACAGGGUGACAGCCCCGUACACAAAAAUGCACAUGCUGUGAGCUCGAUGAGUAGGGCGGGACACGUGGUAUCCUGUCUGAAUAUGGGGGGACCAUCCUCCAAGGCUAAAUACUCCUGACUGACCGAUAGUGAACCAGUACCGUGAGGGAAAGGCGAAAAGAACCCCGGCGAGGGGAGUGAAAAAGAACCUGAAACCGUGUACGUACAAGCAGUGGGAGCACGCUUAGGCGUGUGACUGCGUACCUUUUGUAUAAUGGGUCAGCGACUUAUAUUCUGUAGCAAGGUUAACCGAAUAGGGGAGCCGAAGGGAAACCGAGUCUUAACUGGGCGUUAAGUUGCAGGGUAUAGACCCGAAACCCGGUGAUCUAGCCAUGGGCAGGUUGAAGGUUGGGUAACACUAACUGGAGGACCGAACCGACUAAUGUUGAAAAAUUAGCGGAUGACUUGUGGCUGGGGGUGAAAGGCCAAUCAAACCGGGAGAUAGCUGGUUCUCCCCGAAAGCUAUUUAGGUAGCGCCUCGUGAAUUCAUCUCCGGGGGUAGAGCACUGUUUCGGCAAGGGGGUCAUCCCGACUUACCAACCCGAUGCAAACUGCGAAUACCGGAGAAUGUUAUCACGGGAGACACACGGCGGGUGCUAACGUCCGUCGUGAAGAGGGAAACAACCCAGACCGCCAGCUAAGGUCCCAAAGUCAUGGUUAAGUGGGAAACGAUGUGGGAAGGCCCAGACAGCCAGGAUGUUGGCUUAGAAGCAGCCAUCAUUUAAAGAAAGCGUAAUAGCUCACUGGUCGAGUCGGCCUGCGCGGAAGAUGUAACGGGGCUAAACCAUGCACCGAAGCUGCGGCAGCGACGCUGAUGCGUUGUUGGGUAGGGGAGCGUUCUGUAAGCCUGCGAAGGUGUGCUGUGAGGCAUGCUGGAGGUAUCAGAAGUGCGAAUGCUGACAUAAGUAACGAUAAAGCGGGUGAAAAGCCCGCUCGCCGGAAGACCAAGGGUUCCUGUCCAACGUUAAUCGGGGCAGGGUGAGUCGACCCCUAAGGCGAGGCCGAAAGGCGUAGUCGAUGGGAAACAGGUUAAUAUUCCUGUACUUGGUGUUACUGCGAAGGGGGGACGGAGAAGGCUAUGUUGGCCGGGCGACGGUUGUCCCGGUUUAAGCGUGUAGGCUGGUUUUCCAGGCAAAUCCGGAAAAUCAAGGCUGAGGCGUGAUGACGAGGCACUACGGUGCUGAAGCAACAAAUGCCCUGCUUCCAGGAAAAGCCUCUAAGCAUCAGGUAACAUCAAAUCGUACCCCAAACCGACACAGGUGGUCAGGUAGAGAAUACCAAGGCGCUUGAGAGAACUCGGGUGAAGGAACUAGGCAAAAUGGUGCCGUAACUUCGGGAGAAGGCACGCUGAUAUGUAGGUGAAGUCCCUCGCGGAUGGAGCUGAAAUCAGUCGAAGAUACCAGCUGGCUGCAACUGUUUAUUAAAAACACAGCACUGUGCAAACACGAAAGUGGACGUAUACGGUGUGACGCCUGCCCGGUGCCGGAAGGUUAAUUGAUGGGGUCAGCGCAAGCGAAGCUCUUGAUCGAAGCCCCGGUAAACGGCGGCCGUAACUAUAACGGUCCUAAGGUAGCGAAAUUCCUUGUCGGGUAAGUUCCGACCUGCACGAAUGGCGUAAUGAUGGCCAGGCUGUCUCCACCCGAGACUCAGUGAAAUUGAACUCGCUGUGAAGAUGCAGUGUACCCGCGGCAAGACGGAAAGACCCCGUGAACCUUUACUAUAGCUUGACACUGAACAUUGAGCCUUGAUGUGUAGGAUAGGUGGGAGGCUUUGAAGUGUGGACGCCAGUCUGCAUGGAGCCGACCUUGAAAUACCACCCUUUAAUGUUUGAUGUUCUAACGUUGACCCGUAAUCCGGGUUGCGGACAGUGUCUGGUGGGUAGUUUGACUGGGGCGGUCUCCUCCUAAAGAGUAACGGAGGAGCACGAAGGUUGGCUAAUCCUGGUCGGACAUCAGGAGGUUAGUGCAAUGGCAUAAGCCAGCUUGACUGCGAGCGUGACGGCGCGAGCAGGUGCGAAAGCAGGUCAUAGUGAUCCGGUGGUUCUGAAUGGAAGGGCCAUCGCUCAACGGAUAAAAGGUACUCCGGGGAUAACAGGCUGAUACCGCCCAAGAGUUCAUAUCGACGGCGGUGUUUGGCACCUCGAUGUCGGCUCAUCACAUCCUGGGGCUGAAGUAGGUCCCAAGGGUAUGGCUGUUCGCCAUUUAAAGUGGUACGCGAGCUGGGUUUAGAACGUCGUGAGACAGUUCGGUCCCUAUCUGCCGUGGGCGCUGGAGAACUGAGGGGGGCUGCUCCUAGUACGAGAGGACCGGAGUGGACGCAUCACUGGUGUUCGGGUUGUCAUGCCAAUGGCACUGCCCGGUAGCUAAAUGCGGAAGAGAUAAGUGCUGAAAGCAUCUAAGCACGAAACUUGCCCCGAGAUGAGUUCUCCCUGACUCCUUGAGAGUCCUGAAGGAACGUUGAAGACGACGACGUUGAUAGGCCGGGUGUGUAAGCGCAGCGAUGCGUUGAGCU
rnacentral:rRNA from 1 species